rnacentral:rRNA from 1 species
GACGAACGCUGGCGGCGUGCUUAACACAUGCAAGUCGAACGGAAAGGCCUGCUUUCCCUUGUGGAUUGCGGGUACUCGAGUGGCGAACGGGUGCGUAACUCGCGAGUGAUCUGCCCCCAACUUGGGUAUAAGCCCGGGAAACUGUGUCGAAUUCCCGAUAGGACUGCAGGGUGGUGCCGGUGGUGGAAAACGAGUUUCUAGUUGUUGGGGCUGAGCUCGCGGCCUAUCAGGUUGUUGGUGGGGCAGUGGCCUACCACGGCGGCGACGCGUCGCCGGCCUGGGAGGGUGGACGGCCACAUUGGGACUGGGUUCCGGCCCCGACUCCUGCGGGCGGCAGCAGUGGUGCCUAAUGCGCCAUGGGCGGGACCCUGAUGCAGCGACGCCGCGUGGAGGAUGACGGCCUUCGGGUUGUAAGCUCCUUUCGAACGCGAGGAAGCCACCUGGUUGGAAGCGUGGUGACGGUAGUGGUAGAAGAAGCACCGGCUAACUACGUG